UGGCCCAGGGAGAAAAGCGCUGUUCCGCGUGGGAACGUGUGGAACGUUUACAGCUACUGUAAGAGGGGAGCUGAAGGGUGACCAUCAAGGGCAGCGUGUGCCCCACCUCGGGAAGCUGGGCAGAGAGGAGCCCCGGGGCCCACAGGGGCAUCCUUUACCCAAAGUCCGGGCUCACCCAGGAACAGGACCAGAGACAUUCCCGUACAUCCCAGAACUUUCCGGGGCCUCAUCGGUCUUAUCUCCAAGCUCUGCCAGCCUGCCAUGCUCAUGCACCCAGAGGGAGAUCUGCACCAACCCCUCAGAACAAUAGCUUGCUGAGUGACCCUGAAUCAUCUGGAGCAGGUCACAUUGUGCCAGCCUGUGUAAGACUGGGUGAGUAAUGGCAUUGUGAAAGUUUUCCCUGAAAAAGAAGUGAAAUCAUACUAAAAAUAAUAAUCAUGAAAAGUCAAGCCACUUAGUCAAAAAGAAAGAACUAGAAUGCACCUCAGAGAACUUGAGUCUACCUCCUCACCUGGCAAGUAGAGAAACUGAGGCCUGGAGAGUAGGAAGGUUGUUUGAAGAGCAGAACCGGUAGUUAAUCAUGGAAAAGCAACGCUUAACUGGGUGUUUCUUGGUGAACUAGAACAGAUUGUCUGUGAUUGGGCCAAACUCAAGACGUGAUUCUUGGGGAAGCAAAACCGGGCCUCAGGGCACCGCGGGCCUGCCGGACAUGAGUGCCUGAGAUGAGAGGGUCCUUGGGAGUGUAAAGGGGCACCAUUUGCUUGAGCUCAAGAGGACAGCCACCCAUGUAUGAGUGGGCUGGAGGGGACAUGAGUGAAGGAAGGGGCUUCUGUGUUUGGAAAGCCAGAGGCUCCUAGACUCCUACAAACACCUGCAAAAGAGGGUGCCGCCGUGGGGAGGGAGGUGAGAUGACCAUCGGAAGUGCUUCCUGGGUCCCCUGGGCCUGGCUGGCCCUCAGGACACAGGUGAGCUCUUGGUCUGUCUCCAUCUGGGUGCAGCCACCCAUGUGCACAGGUCACUGAGGUCCUGGCCAGCUCCGGGAGGCUUCCCCCAGGACCAGGACCCAUCCUGGGGAGCAUAGGGGGUCCAGGGAUGGCUCCAAACUAAAGCUGCUUGGGACAAAGUGGGGAUGAGGUCUGGGUACCAAUAGCUCUCCAGCACCUCCAGGUGACGCCUGAGCUCCUCGCCUCUGAACUUGUUCUGCCUUCGCCUUGCCUCCCACCCCCCGCUGUAACGUAACACGCAGUGGUCCCACCGCUGGAUAAACAGAACGGCACCUCCUCCCAAAGGUGAACGUGGGAUCACCACACAACCCAGCGCUUCCACCCUGCAUAUAUACCCGGAAGGGCUGAGCGAGGACUUGAAGAAAUACUUGAUUUUAGCGCUGUUAACUCUCAGUUACUCACACAAGCCUACAAGAGAAAGCAACCAGAUUUCCAUCAGCGGACCAGUGGACCAACAGAAGAUGGUCUAUCACAUAGAAUAGAAUGUUAUUCAGCCUGAAAAGGGAAGGAAACUCGGACACGUGUCACAACAAGAUGAACCUUGAGGACACAGCUUGGUGGAACGAGCCAAUCACAGAAAGACAAAGGUUGUCUGAUUGCACUUGUAUGAGGUCCCUAGAGCUGUCAGUACAGAGAGAAAGUGGAUGGGGGGUGCUCAGGGCUGAGGGGGAGGGGAAUGGAGGGUUAGAGUUUAAUGGGUGCAGAGGUUCAUUUUGGGGAAGAUGGAGAAGUUCUGGAGAUGGAUAGUGGUGAGGAGAGCACAACGGUGUGAACGUGCUUAAUGCCACUGACCUGUGCGCCUAAAAAUGGUGAAAAUGGUCUAUUUUAUGUGUGUCGUACCACAGGAAAAGUGAAUACAUUAAACAACUCGGUAGUGGUGAA